CAGCUUCGGUAAGUUCAUCAGGAUACGCUGUAGCUUUGCCCACACAAUGCCAAAGUGGGCUUUUGGAUGGCGGUAAGCUGUCGUAAAAAACAUCAAAAGCAAGCGUUUCAAGCGCCAUGAGACUUUGAUUGGUCGAUAUCGAUAUAUGGUUUUAUUUUAUUAGUGUUUAUUAAAUACUAAGAGGUUUAGUUGCUUUUGUCUCCAUGUUGUCCAAGGGUUAUGUCGGCCAUGAUCCUCAUAUUAUCAUGGGUUUAGCAGAGUUGUUUAACUUGCAAACUGGAUUGAAGAUUUUGAAUAAAUUUUUGUGUUCUUAAUAUGGUCACAAGUUUGUACUUGUUUAAAACCCUCAAUCAUUUGAAAAUUAUGGCGCCGACAUGGUAGAUGUCCUAGAAAAAACUGGUAGUAACUCAAUGUAGAUACACAUAGUCGAUGGAGUUACUUGCUAAUAACUGGCAAUGAGACAUAUUUGCUUCAAAUGAUGCCUUUAAAGUUUGAAAAGAUUUUUUCUAAUUCAAAUGUCGACUUUUUGUUACAUGAAAAAAGAUACUUAUUUCAACCCCUCGACUAUAUUGAUACACUUAGUAUGUGGAGUUACUUGUCAAUAGCUGGCUAUGAAACUUUUAAACGUAACAUCUUUAAGGGCUGAGAAGGUAAAAAUUAGAAGUCUGCAGACUGCAACGUAAAUCGAUUUCAACACGUUAUGGCUUCUCGAAUAUAUUUAGUUUCCGAUUGAAAUGAGAAUAAACUGAACUUAUAUAUAAAGUGUUUACAAUUAACUUUUUAAACUAGAAAUACUCCAAAGGAGGUUCUCCAAACGCAAGUUAAGCAAAGUCGAUAAAUGUUAAUAUCUUUUAUA